ACGAACGCUGGCGGCGUGCUUAACACAUGCAAGUCGAACGAUGAAGCCUUUCGGGGUGGAUUAGUGGCGAACGGGUGAGUAACACGUGGGCAAUCUGCCCUUCACUCUGGGACAAGCCCUGGAAACGGGGUCUAAUACCGGAUAACACUCUGUCCCGCAUGGGACGGGGUUAAAAGCUCCGGCGGUGAAGGAUGAGCCCGCGGCCUAUCAGCUUGUUGGUGGGGUAAUGGCCUACCAAGGCGACGACGGGUAGCCG
rnacentral:rRNA from 1 species